rnacentral:rRNA from 1 species
AAAUCCGCCAUGAUAAUGCUGGGAUGUGAUGGGGAGCGAAAUUUAGUAGCGAAGUAGCUGAUUUCACACUGUCAAGAAAAGUCUCUAUCGAGGUUAAAGGUACCCGUACCGCAAACCGACACAGGUGGGUGAGGAGAGUAUCCUAAGGCCAGCGAGAGAACUGUUGUUAAGGAACUCGGCAAAAUGACCCCGUAACUUAGGGAUAAGGGGUGCCACCAUCAGGUGGCCGCAGAGAAUAGGCCCAAGCGACUGUUUACCAAAAACAUAGGUUUCUGCUAAGUCGCAAGACGAUGUAUAGGAGCUGACGCCUGCCCGGUGCUGGAAGGUUAAGGGGAUCUGUUAGAG